AGUUCCAGUGUGCUAUGAUGUA
rnacentral:miRNA from 1 species